GACGAACGCUGGCGGCGUGCUUAACACAUGCAAGUCGAACGAUGAAGCGGUGCUUGCACCGUGGAUUAGUGGCGAACGGGUGAGUAAUACGUGAGUGACCUACCUUUGACUCUGGGAUAAGCCUGGGAAACUGGGUCUAAUACCGGAUACGACCAAUCUCUGCAUGGGGUGUUGGUGGAAAGCGUUAUGGAGUGGUUUUAGAUGGGCUCACGGCCUAUCAGCUUGUUGGUGAGGUAAUGGCUUACCAAGGCGACGACGGGUAGCCGGCCUGAGAGGGUGACCGGCCACACUGGGACUGAGACACGGCCCAGACUCCUACGGGAGGCAGCAGUGGGGAAUAUUGCACAAUGGGCGCAAGCCUGAUGCAGCGACGCCGCGUGAGGGAUGACGGCCUUCGGGUUGUAAACCUCUGUUAGCAUCGAAGAAGCGAAAGUGACGGUAGGUGCAGAGAAAGCGCCGGCUAACUACGUGCCAGCAGCCGCGGUAAUACGUANGGCGCGAGCGUUGUCCGGAAUUAUUGNNGCGUAAGAGCUUGUANGCGGUUGGUCGCGUCUGCUGUGAAGGCCGGGGCUUAACUCCGGUUUUGCAGUGGGUACGGGCUAACUAGAGUGCAGUAGGGGAGACUGGAAUUCCUGGUGUAGCGGUGGAAUGCACAGAUAUCAGGAGGAACACCGAUGGCGAAGGCAGGUCUCUGGGCUGUAACUGACGCUGAGAAGCGAAAGCAUGGGGAGCGAACAGGAUUAGAUACCCUGGUAGUCCAUGCCGUAAACGUUGGGCACUAGGUGUGGGGGACAUUCCACGUUUUCCGCGCCGUAGCUAACGCAUUAAGUGCCCCGCCUGGGGAGUACGGCCGCAAGGCUAAAACUCAAAGGAAUUGACGGGGGCCCGCACAAGCGGCGGAGCAUGCGGAUUAAUUCGAUGCAACGCGAAGAACCUUACCAAGGCUUGACAUGCAUUAGAUCGCGUCAGAGAUGGCGUUUCCCUUCGGGGCUGGUGUACAGGUGGUGCAUGGUUGUCGUCAGCUCGUGUCGUGAGAUGUUGGGUUAAGUCCCGCAACGAGCGCAACCCUCGUUCUAUGUUGCCAGCGGUUCGGCCGGGGACUCAUAGGAGACUGCCGGGGUUAACUCGGAGGAAGGUGGGGAUGACGUCAAAUCAUCAUGCCCCUUAUGUCUUGGGCUUCACGCAUGCUACAAUGGCCGGUACAGAGGGUUGCGAUACUGUGAGGUGGAGCUAAUCCCUUAAAGCCGGUCUCAGUUCGGAUUGGGGUCUGCAACUCGACCCCAUGAAGUCGGAGUCGCUAGUAAUCGCAGAUCAGCAACGCUGCGGUGAAUACGUUCCCGGGCCU
rnacentral:rRNA from 1 species